rnacentral:lncRNA from 1 species
GAAGAUAGCAUUAGGCAAGCAUGGUUUUGCUGGGCGGAAGGAUUGGCGAGGUCGAGCGCGUGCCUGGUCGCGUUAAGCGCCGAAUUGGGUGCGGCGGCUCGGCCGGUGUGCGGCAGGAGGGAGGGAGGUGCACUGCAGGCGAGGGCGCUGCAAGCGAGGUGACAGGGUGAGCGGUGUGGCGCGAGCAUGCGCAGAACUAGC